rnacentral:tRNA from 1 species
GCCCUUAGCUCAGUUGGAUAGAGCAACGACCUUCUAAGUCGUGGGCCGCAGGUUCGAAUCCUGCAGGGC